GUAUUAAAGGUGUUGCCUGCCCAGUGAAACAUUUUUAACGGCCGCGGUAUCCUAACCGUGCAAAGGUAGCGUAAUCACUUGUCUUUUAAAUAAAGACUCGUAUGAAAGGCUAAAUGAGGACAACCCUGUCUCUUAUAACCAACCAGUUAAACUGAUCUUCAAGUACAAAAGCUUGAAUAAAAACAUAAGACGAGAAGACCCUGUGGAGCUUUAAACUAAUACUAUACACAAAUAGCACAAGUUUUAAGUUGGGGCGACUUCGGAAUAAAACAAAACUUCCGAGCACAGAGCCACCCACUCUAACCAAGACCAACAAGUCAAAGAACAUAAUGACCCAGUCAUACUGAACAUCGAACCAAGUUACCCCAGGGAUAACAGCGCCAUCUUCUUCAAGAGUCCAUAUCGACAAGAAGGUUUACGACCUCGAUGUUGGAUCAGGACACCCAAAUGGUGCAGCAG
rnacentral:rRNA from 1 species